rnacentral:rRNA from 1 species
UAGGGAAUAUUGCAAAAUGGGCGGAAGCCCGAUGCAGCAACGCCGCGUGGGCGAUGAAGGCCUUCGGGUCGUAAAGCCCUUUUUGAGGGGAUGAGGAAGGACAGUACCCUCAGAAUAAGCCUCGGCUAACUACGUGCCAGCAGCCGCGGUAAAACGUAGGAGGCGAGCGUUAUCCGGAUUUACUGGGCGUAAAGCGCGUGCAGGCGGAUUGGAGAGUUGGAUGUGAAAGCUCCCGGCUUAACUGGGAGAGGUCGUUCAAUACUUCCAGUCUUGAGUGCAGUAGAGGGAAGUGGAAUUCCGGGUGUAGUGGUGAACUGCGUAGAUAUCCGGAGGAACACCAGUGGCGAAAGCGGCUUCCUGGACUGUAACUGACGCUCAGACGCGAAAGCUAGGGUAGCAAACG